UGAGUACGCGUAUACAUCUACCUCAUACUAGAGGAUAGCCCGAAGAAAUUUGGAUUAACACUCUAUAGUAUCAUUUAAAGACAUCUUUUUAUGAUUAAAGGUUACGGUAUGAGAUGAGUAUGCGUUCUAUUAGUUUGUAGGUGAGGUAACGGCUCACCUAGACUGCGAUAGAUAGGGGCCCUGAGAGGGGGACCCCCCACACUGGUACUGAGACACGGACCAGACUCCUACGGGAGGCAGCAGUAAGGAAUAUUGGUCAAUGGACGAAAGUCUGAACCAGCCAUGCCGCGUGCAGGAUGAAUGCCCUAUGGGUUGUAAACUGCUUUUAUAUAGGAAGAAAAACUUUCUCGUGAGAAAGCUUGACGGUACUAUAAGAAUAAGGAUCGGCUAACUCCGUG
rnacentral:rRNA from 1 species